GACGUAGGGCGCGAGCGUUGUCCGGAUUUAUUGGGCGUAAAGAGCUCGUAGGCGGCCUGUCGCGUCGACUGUGAAAAACCACGACUCAACCGUGGGACUGCAGUCGAUACGGGCAGGCUAGAGUUCGGUAGGGGAGACUGGAAUUCCUGGUGUAGCGGUGAAAUGCGCAGAUAUCAGGAAGAACACCCGUGGCGAAGGCGGCUCUCUGGGACGGUACUGACGCUGAGACGCGAAAGCGUGGGGAGCGAACAGG
rnacentral:rRNA from 1 species